rnacentral:lncRNA from 1 species
AUUUAACAGUUAAUGCUUCUUGAAACAGUCAUAAUGGUAAACUUAAAUAUAUCCAUAUGUGUGUGUGUGUGUGUGUGUGUGUGUGUGACUUCAUUUUUUUUAAAGCAAGAAGCAAGAGGUGGAGUGGUUUAUAACUGUAAUCCCUGCUACUAGGAGGCUGAAGUGGAAAGAUUGAGCACUUGAGACCAGACUAGACAACAUGUUCUCAGGCAAACGCUAUUCCGUGCCACACUAUCGCAGGUGAAUCACAGGUACCGGCGGCUGAGGGAACAGCCUCUAAACUUGGAGUACUCUAGCUCUGAAGUUGCUAAUUCAGUUUAACCAUGAAACACUGUUCCAUUAACUGUGAUAAGUAGCAAACAUUUGGCCUUCAGCUUCACCAAGCCUUGACCCAUGGUCCCUUGUGAGUCCUGAGGCACACCCUGAACUGUCCUCACUAUGUGUUGGAAGUUGCUGUUCAAAAAGAGAUCCUUGGAACAGCAUCAGUGAGACUGCUCAGAAACACAGAACAUGGCUAACACAGCCAGCAACUUGGUUCUUGGACUGGAAUAAAGAUGUGAUCAUCUAGCUUCCUGCUCUUCCUGCCUUCUGCCUCACCAUGAUGAAUUUCCCCUCUGGAACCGUAAACAAAAAUAAAGUCUUUCUUCCCAAAGUUGGGCAUGAAAGAUGCAAGAAUGGCAGGGAUGUGGAGGCUCCCAUCAAGGCGGGAGGAGGCCAGGUCAUGUGUAUCAUGUUUGAGUUCUCUGCAAGGAGGCCCUGAGGACAUGAGCAACAUGAAGAUGUCACCGACACCAAGGCUUCAGAGUCAUGAGGACGGCAAGACCUUGUCUGAUAUGAGUAUAGAUGUUGGCAAUGUGUACAGAGAACAUCAAUCACAGCUUUCUCCUCCAGGAUGGCUGCAGC